UGUUUGUUUGAAUGGAAGUGACGAUCCUUUCCCCAGAUGAUCGACUAUGAUUAUACAGUGCGCACAAGUGACCCCUCUUCGAGGAGGAUUCCAAGCCAGAAUUCUGAUCCAUU
rnacentral:snoRNA from 1 species